AGAUUUUAAUGGAGAAUUCAAGUUAAAAUCAUUCAUACUUGGAAGCAGUACACCACUUACUCCAAAUAAAUCAUAGAAAUCAUUUGGGAACCCUGAUUCAUGCCACUGUUAAAACAACAACUCAUCAAGUUUCAGAGAGUUAUUGUUCCUGGACAGUGGAGAAUAAGCAACUUAAUGAUAAAAUCAAUCAGGAUGAGAGUGAUGAGAAAGAUGAUGUGAUGAUCACAAAGACCAAGGCCGAAUCACUUAAUGAGGUACUAAUAUAUUUAAAGCUUUAUCUUUUUAAAUAAUCGAAAUAAGUUCCUAAUCAGAUCUUAUAUUCCUAAUCAAAAAUUUACAAUAAUUUGAUUGCAAAGACCUAUCUUUUCUUGGUGUGUGUUGAAAAAGAAAAUUUGUGGGAUGGUAAGGACUCCUACAUGGUUUCCAAGGUACUUUUAAAGGAUGGCCUUCUAGCAGAAGAAGUCAUUGAUGAUUCAGCUGAAAUGGUGAAACCAACUACCAUUUUCUCUGGUGAUCAGGUUUCACUCGCCUUGACUUAUUUACAAGAGACUUAUGUGUCAAGCACUUCCACAUCUAAAGAUGAUGUGAUGAUGACAAAAAACAAGGGCGAAACAAAAACGCUGAUGGGAGUUAGGUUGAGAAGAAGUGAUCUGGUUUUAGGUUUUGAUGGUGAAGUUUGGUUAUUUUAUUUGAUUUCUUGCGUUAAAUUUCAUUUCUAAGACUAUUCUUUGGUUUCUUUGUUGAGUUUUAUUUUGUAAUGCAAUGUCAUAAAUAAACAGAUGAAUAAUUUUCCUACUCUUUUUCUUUGUUUUUCAAUUAAGUUUCACCAUCAGUUUUUCAUCCUACUUAUGCCUAUAUAGCUAAUAUGAACCACAUGAGUCUAAUAAUAUUCGA